GCGAGAUAGCUCAGUUGGCUAGAGCACACGGUUCAUACCCGUGGUGUCGAGGGUUCGAAUCCCCCUCUCGCUA
rnacentral:tRNA from 1 species